UCUACAUUUUGAACCUUACUUUUGAGGUGAAAAGCUCAGCUAGGUCCUGGCUCUGGUCCCAGUCUAGCAUUGGAACCACUUCUAGGAACGUUUCUUGCUGAGUCAGCUUGUCAUACAGAUUCUGGUCUACAUUUAGAACCUUGCUUUUGAGGUGAAAAGUGAAAGGCAAUGGAAGGGUUCCAUAGACAAAAAGGGUCGAGAGGCAGGGCAAAGAAUGCAAAAGUUCCUUUAUUAAGCUCUUGGACGAGGUUCACUGGUCCGCAGGGGAGGGCCGGGGAAGUCGCACUGUGUUGGAGGUGCAGCAGGCUUAUAUGGACACUAGGUGAGUUAGGGGCGGAUUCGGGGUGGGGCAAGGGCGGAGUUAGUUAGGUUUUAUUUUCCUGAGUGUGACACGCCUUAGCGGGCUCACGUUCUUGCCGGGAUGGCGGGAACGGGGGGAAGAUGAACCCGCUAAUGCUGAGUCAGGGUGGCCAAGAUGGUUGCCUGUCGCCAUCUUGGGGCCUUCACCGGAGUCCAAACAAAAAGCUAAGCUAGGGCCUGGUUCUGGUCCCUGUCUAGCAUUGGAACCACUUCUAGGAACGUUUCUUGCUGAGUCAGCUUGUCAUACAGAUCCUGGUCUACAUUUUCAACCUACUUUUGAGGUGAAAAGCUAAGCUAGGGCCUGGUUCUGGUCCUAGUCUUGCAUUGGAACCACUUCUAGGAACGUUUCUUGCUGAGUCAGCUUGUCAUACAGAUCCUG
rnacentral:lncRNA from 1 species